rnacentral:SRP_RNA from 1 species
UUUAGGUCCCCUCGCGACGAUAGACGUGAACCCCGUCAGGUCCGGAAGGAAGCAGCGGUAACGCUCGAUUCGGGCGCCGAGGUGAGGCUUUUAGAG